AACCCAUGGCGAGGGCAUCUUCGGAAAGGGUCCUUAUAUCUCUCCUAUGCAUCGUAGAGUGUUUCUAAAUCCAUCUGUACAAAAGAAGAGAUAUCAUUACGAAAUUU
rnacentral:snoRNA from 1 species